rnacentral:rRNA from 1 species
UACGGAGGAUCCAAGCGUUAUCCGGAUUCAUUGGGUUUAAAGGGUGCGUAGGCGGAAUGAUAAGUCAGUGGUGAAAUCCUGCAGCUUAACUGCAGAACUGCCAUUGAUACUGUCAAUCUUGAGUAUAUUUGAUGUGGGCGGAAUGUGUCAUGUAGCGGUGAAAUGCUUAGAUAUGACACAGAACACCGAUUGCGAAGGCAGCUCACAAAACUAUAACUGACGCUGAGGCACGAAAGCGUGGGUAU